GGAAACCCCAGUGUCAGAAGGGGAAGGUGCUGCUAAUCGCUGGUUUCCAUGCGUGAGUUUGGGUUAAUUCCAGCAAUGCCAUCCAGGAAACAAAGUCAGCAGAAGCCUUUCCUAUUAAAACUGUCACAGCUUGAUAGGACUCAUUCGACAAAACUAAAAGGGAAACAGCCACCUCGAGCUUCUGUUCACUGUGAGGCAAGAGAUGGGGGGGAGGCAGGAGGGGGUUUUGCAAAUCUGAAAGCGAGAGGAGUUGCUAGUCCACCCGUGACAUGGAGCCAGCAGCAAAGAUCAUCACUGCCAGAGAUGUCUUCAGUCUCAGGGGCUGCUCUGCCUGUGUUGGCACACGAGGCUGUCGGUGGGGCUGCGUGCAUUGGGCAGAACCAGCAGGCUCCGGAUGGUCAGCACGGUACCUCGCAGCCAAAUCAAAUCACAAUUAAAAAAAAAGCUACCCUUCCAACAGCACUACACAGCGUGUGGGUGCAAAUGAAGAGAAGGUGUCAGCUUUGGGCACUGGGGACCAGCUCUGCUAUGUGUGUGCACGAGCCACUUCAGUUCCCUUUCUCCCCAGGCUUUCCUUCAGCAUGCUGA
rnacentral:lncRNA from 1 species